GCUUCCACUAGAUGUCAACGAUCUUUAUAAAGUUGUUUGAAGCGUCUAUGAUAAACAGAGAGCAAAUUAGAAUCCAAGGAAGUUGACAUGUCAUCACUUCAUUUUUUUGCGCCUGCGCAUAAAUCUGAGAAACGUGAGUUUGUCAUCAUUUUUUAUCUAGAAAUAGGAUAGGUUGUGUGAAAAUAUUACUGAUGUUUAACGUUAAAAAUGGACCAAAAGAUUAAUGCUAAACAACAUUUGACAUGUUUGAACGAACAUAAAUAGAUUAUUUACUAGGUUUUUUUAGCUUUUCGGCGUGAUUUUACCAGCCCCCCCAACCACGUUUUGUGGGAGCAUAAUGAACGCUAAGUACUUGGUGUUAUUUGGACAUAAAUUAUGAACUUUGUCAAAAGAAACCACAUUUGUUCCGGACCUGGAAUGCCUUCCGGACCUGGGAUCCUGCCUUCUGAUGGAGAUAAUCAAAGGUAGCGUUCUCCUGGCAUCCACCAAACCCAGAUUGGUCGUCGGACUGCCAGAUGGUGAAGCGUGAUUCAUCCCUCCAGAGAACCCAUUUCCACUGCUCCAGAGUCCAAUGGCGACUGGCUGACAGAGUAUAAUGGCACCAAUUUACUCUUCAAGACAACGUCCCUAUC
rnacentral:lncRNA from 1 species